rnacentral:rRNA from 1 species
UACGUAGGGUGCAAGCGUUGUCCGGAAUUAUUGGGCGUAAAGAGCUCGUAGGCGGUCUGUCGCGUCGGCUGUGAAAACCCGGGGCUCAACCCCGGGCCUGCAGUCGAUACGGGCAGACUUGAGGCAUUCAGGGGAGAACGGAAUUCCUGGUGUAGCGGUGAAAUGCGCAGAUAUCAGGAGGAACACCGGAGGCGAAGGCGGCUUGCUGGGCUUGGUCUGACGCUGAGGCGCGAAAGCGUGGGGAGCAAACAGG